CCGAGAAAUGAGUGAUUUUGAGCACAGUCCUUCCGUCAAGUUGGUAAUCUGGAGUUUGUAUUGGACGAAAAUGCAAUACUUAUAACACCUACUAACUUGGAUCGAGGGAAACAGUAAGUGUUUUAUUAUAUACCAUGUGUCAAAGAAAACAAAAAGAGACGGAAAAGAAACGAGACAGCUCCAUUUGCUUAACUGAAUGAUUUUUGGUUUUUUAGGUUCUUGCAGGAGUUCAAAUUAUUCCUUUGCGUCAUAUACUUGAACUUGCCUUCAAGAUCGCGUCGUACAUCCGAUUUCCUCAUUCCUCUUUUAACUGUGAGGUAAAUAUGUGGACGAGCGUUUUUUUUUGGUUGAAGCGUUCAACCCAUACGCUCCACACAAGCAAGGAAUUCUAUAUAGAAUGCCAUGUUGGUAAUGCGAAAACAGCUAUCGAAUUUACUUUAAUAUCAUGAACAUUAUGUCUUCGAAAAUAAAGAGUCGGUAUUUUUUGGAAGCGCU